AGAAAUCAUCAUACGUAUGUUAAAUAUUUGUCUUUGAGAUAACUGGUAUGAACAAUAGAACUAUGAAGAAAUGUUUUUAUGCUACCAAAGCGGGGAAAUGUCGUUAAUCAGUUAAUUCUUAGGAAACGAAUGCAUGAGAAAAACGACGCGACACUGAGCGAGGACGGAAUUCUUUCCAAGUUAUACAGUCGACAACCAUAUUUUGAAGCAUGUUGUGUUAUGAAUGGGCAGGUUGUGAUACGUAUAUAUUUGUUCGGUUUGAAAUACAGAUGAAGAGAUGCUCAAAUGAAAUCCAAAAUUUUUGUGAUCUAGAAAGAGUUGUUAAAUUUGAGUAGCUUCCCUUUACAUUUACAAACCUAAAGACAUCAGCUUACUUGUGAAAUAUAACCAUUUGGAUAUAGCAAAAAUUAAGAACACAACAGUUUUAUGAUCUGGACAUGUACUGUGAGCCAUAUUGACUACGAUGAAUGGGAGAGGCUCAGUCCCAUAGAUUGGCAGAGAAUUUCAUGCUUGACAUGAACGAGGAUGAAUAUGGAAAAAUUACAAAUCUGUCUGAUUGUGUCAAGAAGCACAAGGCGUUAGUGCCCAGUCGACAG